rnacentral:tRNA from 1 species
GCCGAUGUAGCUCAAUUGGCAGAGCAGCUGAUUUGUAAUCAGCAGGUUGCAGGUUCGAUUCCUGUCAUCGGCU